AAAAAGAUAAGCUAAUUAAGCUAAUGGGUUCAUACCCCAUUUAUGAAGGUAAUAACCCUUCUCUUUUUA
rnacentral:tRNA from 2 species